GAGCCCGUGUGAGGAACAUUCCUGCAGAUCCACAGCAUGCAGAGGGCAGGCGGGGCUGACACAGACACUUCUCCCCAGUGAAUUCUGGAGGCUGGAGUUAACCUAUAGGAAGUCUUCCAUGAGGCCGAAAUUGGAGUAUGUGACAGGUGUGGCUUCCGGGCCUCAUGGAGUUCCUCCGAGAGCUUCUGCCUGGGUUAUCUAUUGGUAUUCUGCAGCAGCUGCCUCACAGAGCCUGGAGAGCUCCAGCAAGGAUGGGCCGGAACUCCAGCUGCUGUGGAAAAAAUGCAAUUAGUUUGGUCAUAUGAUGACAUCGUGUUUGGAGUCAAGACUGGCAAACUUGACCUCCACUUUCAACUCUGAGCACAGCCUAGCCUGGGCCUGGGGGCUGAUGACGCUGUCUCAAUCUUUGAUUAAGAGCCAGGGGAGGCCGGGCGCGGUGGCUCAAGCCUGUAAUCCCAGCACUUUGGGAGGCCAAGACGGGCGGAUCACGAGGUCAGAAGAUCAAGACCAUCCUGGCUAACACGGUGAAACCCCGUCUCUACUAAAAAAUGCAAAAAACUAGCCGGGCGAGGUGGCGCCUGUAGUCCCAGCUACUCGGGAGGCUGAGGCAGGAGAAUGGCGUAAACCCGGGAGGCGGAGCUUGCAGUGAGCUGAGAUCCGGCCACUGCGCUCCAGCCUGGGCGACAGAGCGAGACUCCAUCUCAAAAAAAAAAAAAAAAAAAAAAAAAAAAAAAGAGCCAAGGGAAAGGGUGGGCCCUGGAAGAAUGUGGCUUAUCUGCUGAGUAGAGCAAGACCUUAGCUUUGGCCUCUCAGUUUAUUGGAUGAGAUUGGCCUGUUCAGAGAAACCUUUGGUUCAGGUUUUUCUUUUUGAUUGAAUUUUGAUAUUUUAUAUUUUCCUAAAAAAUUAUCCAUUUCACUCUGAUUUUUGCAAAUAAUUCUUUUAUAAGAAUUAUAGUUUCCUAUAUAUGUUUUAAUCUAUUUGUAUUUUCCCCUAGUUUUCAAAAUUAGACUGUAACCAGCCAACAGGUUCACCUUGCCCACUGCCUAGACAGAGUUGAUUUAUCAAGACAGGGGGAUUGCAAUAAAGAAAGAGUAAUUAACACAGAGCCAUCUGUGUGGGAGACCAGAGAUGUUUUAUUAUUACUCAAAUCAGUCUCCCCAAGUAUUUGGAGAUCAGAGUUUUUAAAGAUAAUUUGGUGGGUGGGGAGUGGGGAGUGCUGAUUGGUGAGGUCAGAGAUGAAAUCAUAGGGAGUUGAAGCUGUCCUCUUGCACUGUUCAAGACCAGUUAAUGGAUUAUUUAUUAUUGUUGCUGGUCAUUUUUGUCCCCUCAGUGAACCAGCUCUUGGAUUUCUUUAUCCAUAUGAAGAACUGCAAAGGACCUGAAAUUUUUUUUUCUCCUACAUGCAAGCUAACAAGUUAGUCUGCCAGUGGUCUCCUAGGUGAGAGAUUUGUGCCAAUUCCCUAACCCCACUUCCACCUAACAUCACGAAAGUCUCAUGAUGUCUGCACACAUAGUGGAUUACAGGAGAGGAACCUAAGUCCUAAAUUUAGGGAACCGGAAUCUUUUAUAAGGACAGUAAGCUGGAUGCUUGGCUCUGGGUAAAGACCCUCUCUGUCUUGCAAAGCUGUUUGCAAUACAAACCUCCCUGAAGAGAUAGUCCACAAGAAAGGCAGCCAGUGCCUCUGCCUCUGCUCCUGUCCUGAGGUAUUCAGAAACCAAGAGAU
ensembl:lncRNA